rnacentral:rRNA from 1 species
GUGUACCCGCGGCAAGACGGAAAGACCCCGUGAACCUUUACUAUAGCUUGACACUGAACAUUGAGCCUUGAUGUGUAGGAUAGGUGGGAGGCUUUGAAGCGUGGACGCCAGUCUGCGUGGAGCCGACCUUGAAAUACCACCCUUUAAUGUUUGAUGUUCUAACGUGGACCCGUAAUCCGGGUUGCGGACAGUGUCUGGUGGGUAGUUUGACUGGGGCGGUCUCCUCCUAAAGAGUAACGGAGGAGCACGAAGGUUGGCUAAUCCUGGUCGGACAUCAGGAGGUUAGUGCAAUGGCAUAAGCCAGCUUGACUGCGAGCGUGACGGCGCGAGCAGGUGCGAAAGCAGGUCAUAGUGAUCCGGUGGUUCUGAAUGGAAGGGCCAUCGCUCAACGGAUAAAAGGUACUCCGGGGAUAACAGGCUGAUACCGCCCAAGAGUUCAUAUCGACGGCGGUGUUUGGCACCUCGAUGUCGGCUCAUCACAUCCUGGGGCUGAAGUAGGUCCCAAGGGUAUGGCUGUUCGCCAUUUAAAGUGGUACGCGAGCUGGGUUUAGAACGUCGUGAGACAGUUCGGUCCCUAUCUGCCGUGGGCGCUGGAGAACUGAGGGGGGCUGCUCCUAGUACGAGAGGACCGGAGUGGACGCAUCACUGGUGUUCGGGUUGUCAUGCCAAUGGCACUGCCCGGUAGCUAAAUGCGGAAGAGAUAAGUGCUGAAAGCAUCUAAGCACGAAACUUGCCCCGA